GCCCACACACCCAGAAGGUGGAGUCUGGGCUGGGUCUCGAGGACCACCCAUCUGUCUAGAGUGAUGCGAGGGGAGCUUCUCCCUGAACCUUGGAAAGCGAUUCCAAAUCCGCUGAGAUUAGCUCAAGGCUGGCCUUGAACUCACUCUGCAGCCCGGGCUGGCGAUCCUCCUGUCUCAGCCUCCCGAGUGUUAGGAUUACAGACCUGCACUACCAUGCCUGGCGAGGUUUCUUUUAUAUGAAUAACCUCUAGAUGAAGACUUCCUGGUACGAUAGGACGCGUUAUUGGACGUGUCUGUGGAAAUGCGCUAAGGUGUGUGGGUAGCUGAGGUCCCGCAGUCAGCGUAGAGGAGGGGCAUGGCUCUGGGUUCUAAUCCUAACCCCUCUCUGAGACCUCAGAUUUUUCCCUUGAAACAAGGAAAGGAGGUAUCCUAAAGGAGGGUGAAAAGCACAAAUCGCUAGAGGCGCUCUAUAGCUAUAGCUGUAAUAGUUCUUAGGGAGUUUUCACACCCUCGUCUUGGAGACCAUCGGAGGGUCGCCCCGUCAGGUCUAAGAAGUUGUAAGGUGUGGGACAGAGUGGCACGGAGGGCUACUGACCUGAGGCUACGGCUAGGACUCUUUCCGCGCUCUGCUGGGUCGACUCGCAGGCUCUGCGCCCCGCGCGCAGGGAUAGACGCGCGCGCCCGCCCGCCCAGGGCGCUUUCCGCAUCACCUCAGAUUGCUCGCCAAGGCCUGCACGGUAGGCGGCGCUACAGAGGGG
ensembl:lncRNA